rnacentral:rRNA from 1 species
UACGUAGGGUGCGAGCGUUGUCCGGAAUUAUUGGGCGUAAAGGGCUCGUAGGCGGUUUGUCACGUCAGGAGUGAAAACUCGGGGCUCAACCCCGAGCCUGCUUCUGAUACGGGCAGACUGGAGGUAUGCAGGGGAGAACGGAAUUCCUGGUGUAGCGGUGAAAUGCGCAGAUAUCAAGGAGGAACACCGGUGGCGAAGGCGGUUCUCUGGGCAUUACCUGACGCUGAGGAGCGAAAGUGUGGGGAGCGAAACAGG